rnacentral:rRNA from 1 species
UACGGGGGGAGCAAGCGUUGUUCGGAUUUACUGGGCGUAAAGGGCGCGUAGGCGGCGCAACAAGUCACUUGUGAAAUCUCCGGGCUUAACCCGGAGCGGUCAAGUGAUACUGUCGUGCUAGAGUGCGGAAGGGGCUACUGGAAUUCUCGGUGUAGCGGUGAAAUGCGUAGAUAUCGAGAGGAACACCUGCGGCGAAGGCGGCUCUCUGGGACGGUACUGACGCUGAGACGCGAAAGCGUGGGGAGCGAACAGG